AGGGACUGGGAUCCCCCAAAGCUGGGCCUGUGAGCCUCUGCCUCCAGCCCAGCUGUUGCUCUAUUUCCUAGAGAGGGAGAAGGGCUCAGAGCAAGAGGCUCCCUCAAGCGAGCUGGGCUAAGGCAGAAGGUUGAGCCAGGUGGGUCUGCAGGUUUCAGUCAGCAAUUGUGGCCUUGCCAGUCACAGAGUGCUAGGUACAACCACAGGGGGUCUGGAAUUGUUGGCCCUUAAUCAUCCUGACUGACUUAUUUUCAAUCACAUCAGGACUUCCUGGUACCCCCGGCCGACCAGGGGCUAAAGGUGAACCGGGAGCUCCAGGCAGGAUCGUGACUUCAGAGGGAUCAUCGACUCUCACUGUCCCAGGUCCCCCGGGACCUCCUGGAGCGAUGGGACCUCCAGGACCUCCAGGUGCCUCAGGUCAGUCUGUUUUCUUGCUUUGCCCCAGAUCAGCAUCAGGCCUUGGCUGCAUUUGACUAUAGCAGUAUUCGCUCAAAUCCUGAAACCCCGGCCGGAACCCGGGGAAGAGUAGGAAGGGGCUGAGAAAGCCCCUCCCAGACAGCCUGGUGAACCCUGAUCACUCGCCAGCAAGUAUCCCAAGCCCUGCACGGCAUUGCUUCACUAGGUCCCCGCAGUACCAUUGGAGGCUCGAGCAGGUAAAUGACACUCCUAAGGUCACACGGAUAAGAAAUAGCAGAGUCAGGGUUUGGACCAGGUCUUCUGCCUCCAGAACCAGUAUUUGACUUGUCAGAAUCAGUCCUCAAAUUGUUUCCUCUUGGAAAACAACUUGAUAAUAUACAUCAAGAGCAACAAAAGUGCUAGGAAUCUAUUGGAAGCAAAUAUCCCCAAAUUGUCCAACAAUAAUGAGAUGGUUACAAAAAUAUGAAGACUUAAAGUUGUUAGCAGAUAACAGUGCUAUGUACAAGGGCAGAUAACACAACGUUGUAAAUCAGCUAUACUCCAAUACAAAAUUUUUUUAAAAAUAAAAGAGCAGAAUACUCGAUAAUGUG
rnacentral:lncRNA from 1 species